rnacentral:rRNA from 1 species
GGCAAAGCCAAUGCCAGCAUUAGAAUACCCACAAGUACGCCGCAUUGCAGGGACACACACGCACGCACAGUCACCAGGAUGCAAAAGUAGUUCUCCAAGGCAAGAAGAAAGGCAAAGCUUGCUUUGCACCAGGCCGCUCCAGGACACACUACCACCAUCCCAAUCAGUAGAAGAGAGAGUGAGAGUGAGACAAGCCAAAUCAAAUUUAGGGCAACAAGAGCCAAGAACACCGUAGCCAGCCGUAUCAUAUAAACCAAACCAAAGGCCAGCAGCAGUGCACAUAAGAACAGAGCAGGAGCAGGGGAAGGAGCAAGAAGAACCUGAGCAGGAGCAGGAGCAGGAAGCAAGAUGAACGGCAUGUACUACCCUCAGCGUUUCAGCAACAUGAUGAUCGGCUACCUCAACCUGGCGACGCUCCUGGCCUCCAUCCCGGUCAUCGGUGCGGGGCUCUGGCUCGCCAAGGGCUCCACGACGACGUGCUCCUCCAUGCUGCAGACGCCGCUGCUCAUCAUCGGCUUCAUCGUGCUCCUCAUCUCCCUCGCGGGGUUCGUGGGCGCCUGCUUCCACGUCGCCUGGGCGCUGUGGCUCUACCUCUUCGCCGUGAUACUCCUCAUCGGCAUGCUGCUCGGGCUCACCAUGUUCGGGUUCGCCGUCACGGCGGGGGGCGGCGGCACGCAGGUGCAAGGGAGGCCGUACAGGGAGUACCACAUCUCGGACUACUCCUCGUGGCUCCAGAAGCAUAUGCAGGACAUCAAGUACUGGAAGCCCGCGCUGGCCUGCGUCGUCGGCUCCAAGGCCUGCCCCAAGAUCGCCAACUGGACUCCCAUGGAUUACCUCCAGCAUGAUCUCACGCCAAUACAGUCUGGGUGCUGCAAGCCACCAACAUCAUGCACAUACAGCGGGGGGAUGCCGGUCGGAGCGCAGGACGAGGACUGCUACCAGUGGAACAAUGCCCCAAACAUCCUGUGCUACCAGUGUAACUCGUGCAAGGCCGGCGUGAUGGAGCAGGUGCGCCAGGACUGGCACAAGAUCUCCGUGCUAAACGUCAUCGUGCUCGUCUUCCUCAUCUGCAUCUGCGCCUGCGGAUGCUGCGCCUUCAGAAACGCCCGCCGCUCCGUCUCCGAGUACCCAUACGGGGUAAACCGCAUGUCCAAGAUCAACCCACGCUGGGACUACUACUGGUACUUUCAGCCAAAAAUAAAAAACAAAAUAAAAUUGUCACACCAUUUCUGUUUGAUUGCUGCUUUUCAUUGGCAUUUCUUUUCUCUUCAGAUGUUUGGUUUCAGCCCCAAAAAUGCAUUUCUACAGUCUCAUGAUCAAAGCGAAAAAAUGGAUUAGUUUAUUUCUGAAUAGUGCUCAUUCAACAGAAAAGGGGGGCGGGGUGUUCCUUCUAUUCUGUUUUCACAACUGCAUAAUCAUGCUUCGGUGCUUCUUCAUUAACGAAAUUCUUUGCACACAUAAAAAAAGUAAUGAUGACACUGGCAAUAUAACGCAAUUUCAGUUUGUGGCCAUCCAUUUGCUGUGAUCUUCUAACACUCCUUUAUGAUUUUCGCUACAGGUGGCGAUGGUUCCGCGAUAGGAGGGAACAGAUGUACUAGGCUAGCCAUCGGAACUCAACUCAUGUAUAAUAUUUUCUUGAUGGCAAAUGGCCGAGGGGUUGGGUCAGUUCUUCAUAGCACUCUGGUAGUGACCAAUAAUUAAUCUUCUGUAGAUAUUCAGUAUGAGGAAAGUGCAAGAUGGUGAAGUGGAAGGCAUGUGUAGUUUAUCCAGUAUUGGUAGAAUGCUUUGCAUAUUGUAGCAUACUUAGUUAGAGAAUUCAGAAGAGAAGAGACUUCAUGUCUAUGGUGGGAAAUCCAGUCAGCUAUAUAUAUGACCAUAUCAGCACAUGUACUGUUGGUGUGACUUCUAUUUCCCAUGUUUUGGUCAUGCCUACCUUCUGAUAUGAUAUCAGUAGACCCAUAGACUGCGGCUAAAUCUAAG